UACGGGGGGGGCAAGCGUUGUUCGGAAUUACUGGGCGUAAAGGGUUCGUAGGUGGCCAACUAAGUCAGACGUGAAAUCCCUCAGCUCAACUGGGGAACUGCGUCUGAUACUGGUCGGCUUGAGUGCAGGAGAGGAACGCGGAAUUCCAGGUGUAGCGGUGAAAUGCGUAGAUAUCGAGAGGAACACCUGCGGCGAAGGCGGGUUGCUGGGCCGAUACUGACGCUGAGGAGCGAAAGCGUGGGGAGCGAACAGG
rnacentral:rRNA from 1 species